UCAACUAUAAUAGAUUUAUGGCUCACUACACCAUAGUUGAUUUGUGGCUCACCACACAAUAGUUUAUUUAUAGCUCGCCAGACCAUAGCACAAUCUAUGACAACCAUCGUGCCAACCACUGUAGUCCUAAAGACUAUGACCAUCGUCAUUCUUCGCCAUAGUGGUCUUAAGAUCUCCUACACUCUUUCGUGCUGUCCUCCACAGGGAGUGGUCAUCUCAUGUCUUUUUAAACAGGGUAGGGACAACAAAAAUAGAUUAAAUAGUUUAACGGAUUAACUCCAAUUUCAUGCAUUAUAUCAUGUCAUUAAUUUCAUCUCAAUUUGUUCAUAACAAUGUAAACAUUUACAAUACAUGCAUUUAGUUCAUUAUAAGCAAUAACAAACCAUGCAAUAAAAUCAAUAUUUUACUACUACUUUUUUCUAGAAAUGUUUCUUAGAAUGUGCAAGAAAAUACUAAAU
rnacentral:lncRNA from 1 species